rnacentral:rRNA from 1 species
UACGAAGGGGGCUAGCGUUGCUCGGAAUCACUGGGCGUAAAGCGCACGUAGGCGGAUUGUUAAGUCAGGGGUGAAAUCCUGGAGCUCAACUCCAGAACUGCCUUUGAUACUGAAGAUCUUGAGUUCGGGAGAGGUGAGUGGAACUGCGAGUGUAGAGGUGAAAUUCGUAGAUAUUCGCAAAGAACACCAGUGGCGAAGGCGGCUCACUGGCCCGAUACUGACGCUGAGGCACGAAAGCGUGGGGAGCAACAGGGAAUUAAGAAACCCGGGGUAGUAC